UACGUAGGGGCCGAGCGUUGUCCGGAGUUAUUGGGCGUAAAGAGCGUGUAGGCGGCCCGGUAAGUCCGCUGUGAAAGUCCAGGGCUCAACCCUGGGAUGCCGGUGGAUACUGUCGGGCUCGAGUCCGGAAGAGGAGUGUGGAAUUCCUGGUGUAGCGGUGAAAUGCGCAGAUAUCAGGAGGAACACCAAUGGCGAAGGCAGCACUCUGGGACGUGACUGACGCUGAGACGCGAAAGCGUGGGGAGCAAACAGG
rnacentral:rRNA from 1 species